rnacentral:rRNA from 1 species
GACGAACGCUGGCUGCGUGCUUAACACAUGCAAGUCGAACGCUGAAGCCCCAGCUUGCUGGGGUGGAUGAGUGGCGAACGGGUGAGUAACACGUGAGUAACCUGCCCCUGACUUCGGGAUAAGCCCGGGAAACUGGGUCUAAUACCGGAUACGACUAUCGGACGCAUGUCUGGUGGUGGAAAGUUUCUUCGGUUGGGGAUGGGGUCGCGGCCUCUCAGUUUGUUGGUGAGGUAGUGGCUCACCAAGACGACGACGGGUAGCCGGCCUGAGAGGGCGACCGGACACACUGGGACUGAGACACGGGCCAGAGUCGUACGGGAGGCAGCAGUGGGGAAUAUUGCACAAUGGGGGAAAGCCUGAUGCAGCGACGCAGCGUGCGGGAUGACGGCCUUCGGGUGGUAAACCGCCUUCAGCAGGGAAGAAGCCUUCGGGUGACGGUACCUGCAGAAGAAGUACCGGCUAACUACGUG